rnacentral:rRNA from 1 species
UACGUAGGGGCCUAGCGUUGUCCGGAUUUAUUGGGCGUAAAGAGCUCGUAGGCGGUCUGUCACGUCGGCUGUGAAAACCCGAGGCUCAACCUCGGGCCUGCAGUCGAUACGGGCAGACUAGAGUUCGGUAGGGGAGACUGGAAUUCCUGGUGUAGCGGUGAAAUGCGCAGAUAUCAGGAGGAACACCGGUGGCGAAGGCGGGUCUCUGGGCCGAAACUGACGCUGAGGAGCGAAAGCGUGGGGAGCGAACAGG